rnacentral:sRNA from 1 species
AUACCAAGUUAAAUUCAUCUUCCAU